rnacentral:rRNA from 1 species
CAGCAGCCGCGGUAAUACGGAAGGUCCAGGCGUUAUCCGGAUUUAUUGGGUUUAAAGGGAGCGUAGGCCGGAGAUUAAGUGUGUUGUGAAAUGUAGACGCUCAACGUCUGACUUGCAGCGCAUACUGGUUUCCUUGAGUACGCACAACGUUGGCGGAAUUCGUCGUAUAGCGGUGAAAUGCUUAGAUAUGACGAGGAACUCCGAUUGCGAAGGCAGCUGACGGGAGCGCAACUGACGCUUAAGCUCGAAGGUGCGGGUAUCAAACAGGAUUAGAUACCCGGGUAGUCCCUGUCUCUUAUAC